rnacentral:rRNA from 1 species
UUAAAGGAAGUUGACGGGGCCGCACAAGCGGUGGAGCAUGUGGUUUAAUUCGAUGCAACGCGAAGAACCUUACCUACGGCUUGACAUCCCUGGUAAUUUGUGGAAACACAAAGUGCCUUUCGGGAACCAGGAGACAGGUGCUGCAUGGCUGUCGUCAGCUCGUGUCGUGAGAUGUUGGGUUAAGUCCCGCAACGAGCGCAACCCUUGUCAUUAGUUGCUACAUUCAGUUGGGCACUCUAAUGAGACUGCCGGUGACAAGCCGGAGGAAGGUGGGGAUGACGUCAAGUCCUCACGGCCCUUAUAGGUGGGGCUACACACGUCAUACAAUGGCUGGUACAAAGGGUUGCCAACCCGCGAGGGGGAGCCAAUCCCAUGAAGCCAGUCGUAGUCCGGAUCGUAGUCUGCAACUCGACUACGUGAAGUCGGAAUCGCUAGUAAUCGUGGAUCAGAAUGUCACGGUGAAUACGUUCCCGGGUCUU